AUUGAACGCUGGCGGCAUGCUUUACACAUGCAAGUCGAACGGCAGCGCGGACUUCGGUCUGGCGGCGAGUGGCGAACGGGUGAGUAAGACAUCGGAACGUGCCUGAAAGUGGGGGACAACCAGUCGAAAGAUUGGCUAAUACCGCAUACGAUCUACGGAUGAAAGAGGGGGACCUUAGGGCCUCUUGCUUUUAGAGCGGCCGAUGGCUGAUUAGCUAGUUGGUGGGGUAAAGGCCUACCAAGGCGACGAUCAGUAGCUGGUCUGAGAGGACGAUCAGCCACACUGGGACUGAGACACGGCCCAGACUCCUACGGGAGGCAGCAGUGGGGAAUAU
rnacentral:rRNA from 1 species